GGCACAUGACCGGGGUGCCGGCGCCGCCAGUGAGCGUCCGGCUGAGAUAACACCCGUCGAACCUGAUCCGGUUUGCACCGGCGUAGGGAGUCCAAACGUGUCUCGU
rnacentral:ncRNA from 2 species